rnacentral:tRNA from 1 species
ACCAGCGUGGUAAAAUGGUUUGAAUGUUGGACUAUGACUCUAGAGAACAGGGUUUGAAUCCCUGCUCAGCCA